UUAUCCCUGAGUGAUAUCUUUAACAAUCCUCAGUGAGUGUCUUUUAAUUUGUUGUUGUUUGAACAUGUCUCUUGCCACCUUCAGUAACGGUACCUUAGUUUGCCUUGUAGGAGGGGAUGUGCCCUCAGACUGUCUUUGCAUCCUAAUUUUUAUAGAACUUUGUGUGUAUUUUCCCACCAUGCUCUGUUGUGUGUAUAGGGUUGCCUUUCCUUGUCCUCUGUUCUCUGUAUCUUUGAUCCUUGCAGGUUCCUUCUGCAGUUUUCAGUUUCCCUUCCACAAUUAAUAACUUUUUUUUGCCAGCAGAGUUUGUCAUUGUUUUGUUCACUGGCUGAGCUCUGGUGCAGAUUUAUGUUCACGAGAGGCUGGUUUCUUCUGUCCUUGCUUUUGUUUUUAUUCUUAUCUUGUUUAAUUUGUUUAAGCAAAUUUUUGUCUGUGGGGUUUUCAUUUGUUAUCCCAUGGGUGCCCAGUUUAUCUAUAGGGUUUUGAUGGAGGAUGGAUGUCUCUUGGAGAGCUUAGUCCCAUAUUUCUUAUUUAUAUAAGUUUUGACAGUGGGAAAAAUUCCAGUGGAUUGGAGAGACAGGAGAGGUUUUUACAAGGGAAGAAAGAGGAAGUUCCUGCUCUGAAGAAUCACAGAAUCAGAGAUUUGGGGUGUAAGGAACCUUAAAGUUAAUCUCAUUCUACCCUCUGCCAUGGGCAGAGACACCUCCCACUAGCCCAGAUGGCUCUAAGCCCCAUCCAGCCUGGCCUUGGACACUUACAGGAAUGGGGAGAGCUUGAGCUAGACCAAGGUGAUGGACCAGAUGCACUGUGGUGAGUGAGGAGGGAAGGUGGAUAAUGAAAAUAAACUCUGCACUGAUUGAGAUUACUUGGUAGAAGGGAAAUGUGGUAGAACAAGGAAGUCAGGGUGGUACUGUGGUAUCCAUGGGCUCACUGUAUGGAAUGGGUGUUUUGGGACAGAAUUGACUGUGGCCAACUCCCAGACACCCACCUGCUCCACUUGCUCCCCUCCUGUGGGAUGAGGAAAAAUGGACGAAUGGAAUUGUGGGUGGAGAUAAAGGCAGUUUAACAGGUCAAGCAAAAACUGCUUGCACAAAAAGUAAAAUUAGGAAUUCAGUCACCACAUCCUGUCGGCAGGCAGAUCAGCCAUGUCCGGAGUCUCUGUGUGCACAGUAUUCACUUGGAAGACAAAUACUGUGACCAGAAAUGUGCUUCCAUCCUCCUGCUUAUAUAAAGCUUUUAUUUGCUGAGCACGGCCUCUUGUGGCAUGGAAUAUCCCUUUGAUCAAUCUGGGAAGACUGUCCAGGCUGUGUCUGUUCCCAGUUUCUUGUCCAUCCCCAAAUUCCUGCCCAUCCGAAGCCUGCCAGGAGGUGCACAGUGAGAGAAGGAGAAAACAUAGAUGUUGUGGAAGCUCUCCUCAAAAUACGGGUGUGUAAUCAGCAGUCUCCUCAAAAUCCCAAGCAUGGCAUGACGUGUGGCUACUAUGAAGGACAUUGACUCUAUCCCACCUGAAAGGAUGAAGUGGGAAUUAGGAAGGAGAUGGAGGGAGCCUUGUGUCAUGUGUCUGGUGCUGCAGUCUUCCAACAGGCUCUGCUUUCUUACUGUCCUCUAACAAAUGUCUUUCCUCUAUUUUCCAAUGAUCUCCAAAAAAAUAAAUGAAGCUGAGUUCUCUUAUCCUUUUAUUUCACUUGAGGAUUCCAGCAUUGACAUUCUACAAUGCACCAUCUUCUUUCUCCCAGAACCUCUUUUACCCUAACAAAGUAGUCCAUUUACCUGAUUUUUUCACAGAUAUGAUAAAAUGCUCAAAGCUGGGAGAAGAAUCCUCACUGCAAAAUUUUAAAGAAAUAUGACCAGGAUUUGGUGGAAGAAAGUGAAUGGGCUGUGUCUAAUAUAGUGAUGGAAAACACCUGGUGCAGUUCAAAAAAACAGUGAAACCAAGUAUGGAAGAGAGAGAUCUUCCUUGGAACAACAUCAGUGCAAGGUUGGAGGGAUCACUGAGAGCCAAGAGAAUCCUCUUGAUGUGCCAAUGGGGGAAAAGAAAGUUGUGCCAAGAGAAGCAAAGGGGCUUCUGACAGCCAAGGACCUUGAGGCUGUUGGAGCUGCUUCUCAUCCAGACUCGCCAUCAGAAGCAUGGAUUGGAUUUUGCUGCCCUGUUCAUCCUUGAACUCCCACGAUUCAUGAAGAGACUGUGACAAGAACUAGAGUUCUGGGAAUGCUGGCUGUCACCCCAGGAGUGAAGGUGACUGGUGGCUAUCCCUGAGUGCAGCCCAGACUGGCAGGAAGGUGUUGCACACUGAGAUUGCUGUGCUGAGUACAUACGAAAUCCAUGAAUUUAGGAUGAGUUACAACUUAUUUCAAGCAAAUUCCGGGGAAGAAUCAGUGGAAGACUUUUUAGGAGUUUCAGAGUCCAAAGAGCAGAGGUGGCAGUGAGUGUUCGAAAGAAGAGAUCAGGAAGAAAAGAUGGUGCUGGGCAAGUUGUCAACAUCAACUAAACCUGGCACCUUGAAGUUCCUGGCCAGGGCUGUCCCUGUGCCUGUCUCCUGUACUGGAGACUCACCACAGCCCUGGAACUUCUAUGUGAGGCACAAACCUUAACAGAGGUCUGUCCCAGACAUAGAAUCAUUGGAUCAUUUAGAUUGGAAAAGACCCUCAAGAUCAUCAAGUCUGACCAUUAACCUGAGGUAGCUGAGCCCAGUGCUCACCCAGAUCUGGGCAUUGCCAGAUGCAGCCCAGGAAGUCACCUGGGGAUCGCUUUUAGGGGGCUGUACCAGGAACACCCAUCAGAUGAAGCUCUGGACAGACAAUAACAAUGUCCUGUUCACAACACAGCAGAGCAUUAUUGAGCUAGGAGGUUCUGGAAUGCAUUGAGGGUAAAAUCCUUCUCCAAGUGAGAGGAGCCAGCAAGGGGAGGAGCUGUGCUGGACCUUGUUCUCACCAACAGGGAGGACCUGGUGGGAAAUGAGAAGCUCAAGGGCAGCCUGGACUCAGCGAACAUGGAAUGGUAGAUUAAGGAUCCUCAGGGCAACAAGGAGGGCACAGUGAGUCCUGGGAUUCAGGAUGCCUCUUCAGGGAUCUGCUUGGUUGAGUUUAUAAAUAAAUAAAUAAAGCCCUAGAAGGAAGAGGGGCUCAGGAGAGCUGGUUGAUAUUUAAGGAUCGCCUACAAGCUCAGGAGUGACGCAUCCCAAGCACAAGGAAGUUGGAUAAGAACUCCAGGAGGCCUGUGAGGGUGAACAAGGAGCUGCUGGACAAACUCAGAGUGUAGAAGCAAGGACAGACAGCCUGGGAGGAAUGCAGAGGGAUUAUCUGAGUAGCCAGGGAUCAGGUUAGGAUUCCGGCUAGGAAACCUGAAGCCCUGGUAGAAUUAAAUCUGGCCAGGGGUAUCAAGGGCAACAGAAGAGCUUCUACAGGUAAAUUGGUGAUAAAAGGAAAACUGGGGGAAAUGUGGGCCCUCUCCAGAAGGAAACGGGAUGCCUGCUUACCCAGGAGAUGUAGAAGGCCGAGGUUCUUAGCAUUUGUGCCUCAGUCUUCACUGGGAAGUCACCCAGUCACACCACCAGAGUCAUGGGGCAAAGGCAAGGACUGGGAGAAGGAAGCACCAUCCACAGUAGGAGAAUCACAGAAUCCCAGAACCUUUAAGGUUGGAACACCCCUCUAAGGUCAUCAAAUCAAACCUGUGUCAUCGAGUCCAACCUGUGACCAAUACCUACCUGGUCACUCAGCCCUGAGUACUGGGUGCCACGUCCAGGCACUCCUUGGACAUCUCCAGGGAUGGCAACUGCAUCAUCUCCCUGGGAAGCCCCUUCCAAUGCCUGACCACCCAUUCCAGGAAGAAACUCCUCGUGAUGUCCAACCUGAAACUUUCCUGGUACAACUUGAUGUACCUCUUGUAUGUUUCCUCUUGUGCUGUCCGUUGUUCCCUAGGAGCAGAGCCCAACCCUCCCUGGCUGACCCCUCUUGUCAGGGAGUUGUGGGGAGGUAAAGGGUCCCCCCCAAACCUCCUUAUCUCCAGGCUGGGCUGCCCAGCUCUCAUUCAUUCCUAAUAGGACUUAGGCUCCAUACCCUUCACCAGCUCCAUUCCUUUCUCUGGACUUGAGAAGAAAAAAUUCAGGAAUAUUUAGGGAAUGUGAAAGUGCAGAGAUUUGUGGGACCUGAUGAGAUGCAUCCAUGGAUUAUGGGGCAACUGGCAGAGGAAGUUCCUAGGCCACUCUCCAUCAUAUUUGAGAAGUUGUGGCAGUUCAGUGAAGUUCCCACUGACUGGAAAAUGGAAAAUUUGACCCUAUUUUUCCAAAGAGAAAUAAGGCAGAUGCAGUGCACUACAGGACAAUCAGUCACACUGGUGACAGCAAGAUCAUGGAGAAAAUCCUUCUGGAAACUGUGCUAAAGGCACAUGGAAAAUGUGAUUGGUGACAACCAACAUGGCUUCUCUGAAGACAAAUUGUGCCUGACAAAUUUGGUGGCCUUGUUUGACAAGGUGACAGUGCUGGUAGGUGAGAGCAGAGUGACUGACAUCCUCCACCUGGACUGUGCAAAGCAUCAUAGCAGGACAGCCUUGUCUCAAAACUGGAGACACAUGGAUCUGAUGGGUGGAACACUCCCUGGAUGGUGGCACUCAAAGGAUUUGGCUGGAUGGUGGCA